GACAGGGAGAAAUUUUUUGUAAACCAUGCGCGAUGCAGAAAAUUGCACACUACGUGCAAUGAUUGGACCAUGAACAGGGCCGAAAAGUGGCAUAUGAAAAAAAAAAAAUUCUCUGACCCUAUGUGUGAUUCAAUCAUCAUGCGCGAUGUAUGAUUUUCUGCAUUGUAUGUGGUGCACAAAGAAUUUCUCCCGUGGCAGGAUGGAAAGUGGAGAGAGGGAGGUGGUUGGAGAAGAGAGAAGG
rnacentral:lncRNA from 1 species